rnacentral:rRNA from 1 species
ACGGAGGGUGCAAGCGUUAUCCGGAUUCACUGGGUUUAAAGGGUGCGUAGGUGGUUUUGUAAGUCAGUGGUGAAAGCCCGGAGCUUAACUCCGGAACUACCAUUGAUACUGCUUAACUUGAAUCAACUUGAGGUGGAUGGAAUAUUACAUGUAGCGGUGAAAUGCUUAGAUAUGUAAUAGAACACCGAUUGCGAAGGCAGUUCACUAAGGUUGUAUUGACACUGAGGCACGAAAGCGUGGGGAUCAAACAGGA